UCAAAGACAUCAUAACCCUUUCUGAUGAUGAUGUGAGAGUGGCAGAGGAGGUCCUCCAGGUGCUUAAACCCCUUAAAACUGUUACAUCUCUGCUGAGCACUGAAACGUUACCAUCUGUGUCAAUGAUCCUUCCGCUGAAAACAAGGAUUCUACAAUCCAUGGCUCCAAGUGUGGAAGACAGCACCAUCACUCAAGAUGUCAAGACUGCCAUUAGAGAGGACCUGAAGCCCAGAUACACUUCACCCCCUACUCUACAGGACUACCUCCACAGAUCUACUGCCCUGGAUCCAAGGUUUAAGUCCCUGUCUCACAUAGACCCUGACCUACGCCAGAGGACAUACAGUGACCUCACCACUGAGAUUGUGAGCAGUCUGGCCACUGAAGACUGUGAUGAGGGUCAAGCUGCAGAGCCAACAGGAGCAAACUUGGACACAUCUCCUCCACAAAAGAAGUCGGCGUUGGCAGAGCUUUUUGGAGAGACCUUUGCCAGCAAAGACAUGGACAGCAAGACUCCUGCUGACAUCAAAGAGGAGGUGGCAUUCUACCUGGCAGCAAGCGGCAUUGCAGUGGAUGGUGAUCCACUGACAUGGUGGAAAAGCAAUGAGUUUAAAUACCCUCAUAUUGCUAAGAUGGCAAGAUGCUAUCUCGCUGUGCCAGGCUCUUCAGUUCCUUCCGAGAGAGUGUUCUCAACAGCAGGGGACAUAGUGACUGCAAAGAGGUCCACACUCUCCCCAGACAAUGUAGACACCCUUGUCUUUUUGAAAAAGAAUUUAAAAUUAUAAGCUCAUGUAUGCUUUGUUUUCUUUCUUUAAUUCUUCUUUGAUAAUAAUGCUCUUGUUUCAAGGAAGAUGAUGUGCCUUCUUAUGUUGCACUUUAAUUUGUUUUUUAUUAAUGGUCAUUGGUCCAUGUUUAAAGGAAGGAGAUAUGCCUUUUUAUGUUGCACUUUAAGUUGUUUUUCAUUGAUUAUGUUGAAAAGAAGAUGUUAAUUGUACACUUUAAGUUGAUUUUAUAUAUUUCAAUUGAAUAAUUUAAAAGUGUUAAUAAACAAAAAGACAAAACAUG